rnacentral:rRNA from 1 species
AACCCAGUGUGACUCGUCACACUAUCAUUAACUGAAUCCAUAGGUUAAUGAGGCGAACCGGGGGAACUGAAACAUCUAAGUACCCCGAGGAAAAGAAAUCAACCGAGAUUCCCCCAGUAGCGGCGAGCGAACGGGGAGGAGCCCAGAGCCUGAAUCAGCAUGUGUGUUAGUGGAAGCGUCUGGAAAGGCGCGCGAUACAGGGUGACAGCCCCGUACACAAAAGCGCAUGUGCUGUGAGCUCGAUGAGUAGGGCGGGACACGUGGUAUCCUGUCUGAAUAUGGGGGGACCAUCCUCCAAGGCUAAAUACUCCUGACUGACCGAUAGUGAACCAGUACCGUGAGGGAAAGGCGAAAAGAACCCCGGCGAGGGGAGUGAAAAAGAACCUGAAACCGUGUACGUACAAGCAGUGGGAGCACAGGUUUACCUGUGUGACUGCGUACCUUUUGUAUAAUGGGUCAGCGACUUAUAUUCUGUAGCAAGGUUAACCGAAUAGGGGAGCCGGAGGGAAACCGAGUCUUAAUUGGGCGUUAAGUUGCAGGGUAUAGACCCGAAACCCGGUGAUCUAGCCAUGGGCAGGUUGAAGGUUGGGUAACACUAACUGGAGGACCGAACCGACUAAUGUUGAAAAAUUAGCGGAUGACCUGUGGCUGGGGGUGAAAGGCCAAUCAAACCGGGAGAUAGCUGGUUCUCCCCGAAAGCUAUUUAGGUAGCGCCUCGUGAAUUCAUCUCCGGGGGUAGAGCACUGUUUCGGCUAGGGGGCCAUCCCGGCUUACCAACCCGAUGCAAACUGCGAAUACCGGAGAAUGUUAUCACGGGAGACACACGGCGGGUGCUAACGUCCGUCGUGAAGAGGGAAACAACCCAGACCGCCAGCUAAGGUCCCAAAGUCAUGGUUAAGUGGGAAACGAUGUGGGAAGGCCCAGACAGCCAGGAUGUUGGCUUAGAAGCAGCCAUCAUUUAAAGAAAGCGUAAUAGCUCACUGGUCGAGUCGGCCUGCGCGGAAGAUGUAACGGGGCUAAACCAUGCACCGAAGCUGCGGCAGCGACGCUGAUGCGUUGUUGGGUAGGGGAGCGUUCUGUAAGCCUGCGAAGGUGGCCUGUGAGGGUUGCUGGAGGUAUCAGAAGUGCGAAUGCUGACAUAAGUAACGAUAAAGCGGGUGAAAAGCCCGCUCGCCGGAAGACCAAGGGUUCCUGUCCAACGUUAAUCGGGGCAGGGUGAGUCGACCCCUAAGGCGAGGCCGAAAGGCGUAGUCGAUGGGAAACGGGUUAAUAUUCCCGUACUUGGUGUUACUGCGAAGGGGGGACGGAGAAGGCUAUGUUGGCCGGGCGACGGUUGUCCCGGUUUAAGCGUGUAGGUGUGUGUUCCAGGUAAAUCCGGUUCACUUUAACACUGAGGCGUGAUGACGAGGCACUACGGUGCUGAAGCAACAAAUGCCCUGCUUCCAGGAAAAGCCUCUAAGCAUCAGGUAACAUCAAAUCGUACCCCAAACCGACACAGGUGGUCAGGUAGAGAAUACCAAGGCGCUUGAGAGAACUCGGGUGAAGGAACUAGGCAAAAUGGUGCCGUAACUUCGGGAGAAGGCACGCUGACACGUAGGUGAAGUGAUUUACUCAUGGAGCUGAAGUCAGUCGAAGAUACCAGCUGGCUGCAACUGUUUAUUAAAAACACAGCACUGUGCAAACACGAAAGUGGACGUAUACGGUGUGACGCCUGCCCGGUGCCGGAAGGUUAAUUGAUGGGGUCAGCGCAAGCGAAGCUCCUGAUCGAAGCCCCGGUAAACGGCGGCCGUAACUAUAACGGUCCUAAGGUAGCGAAAUUCCUUGUCGGGUAAGUUCCGACCUGCACGAAUGGCGUAAUGAUGGCCAGGCUGUCUCCACCCGAGACUCAGUGAAAUUGAACUCGCUGUGAAGAUGCAGUGUACCCGCGGCAAGACGGAAAGACCCCGUGAACCUUUACUAUAGCUUGACACUGAACAUUGAGCCUUGAUGUGUAGGAUAGGUGGGAGGCUUUGAAGUGUGGACGCCAGUCUGCAUGGAGCCGACCUUGAAAUACCACCCUUUAAUGUUUGAUGUUCUAACGUGGACCCGUGAUCCGGGUUGCGGACAGUGUCUGGUGGGUAGUUUGACUGGGGCGGUCUCCUCCUAAAGAGUAACGGAGGAGCACGAAGGUUGGCUAAUCCUGGUCGGACAUCAGGAGGUUAGUGCAAUGGCAUAAGCCAGCUUGACUGCGAGCGUGACGGCGCGAGCAGGUGCGAAAGCAGGUCAUAGUGAUCCGGUGGUUCUGAAUGGAAGGGCCAUCGCUCAACGGAUAAAAGGUACUCCGGGGAUAACAGGCUGAUACCGCCCAAGAGUUCAUAUCGACGGCGGUGUUUGGCACCUCGAUGUCGGCUCAUCACAUCCUGGGGCUGAAGUAGGUCCCAAGGGUAUGGCUGUUCGCCAUUUAAAGUGGUACGCGAGCUGGGUUUAGAACGUCGUGAGACAGUUCGGUCCCUAUCUGCCGUGGGCGCUGGAGAACUGAGGGGGGCUGCUCCUAGUACGAGAGGACCGGAGUGGACGCAUCACUGGUGUUCGGGUUGUCAUGCCAAUGGCACUGCCCGGUAGCUAAAUGCGGAAGAGAUAAGUGCUGAAAGCAUCUAAGCACGAAACUUGCCCCGA